ACAAUAUUCACGAAGAACAAAACGCACAUAUAUCAUGAUCUAUGCUAUAAGUGCUUCUGUUCUCAGUACUGCAAUAUCAAAUGCACAAGAACAGAAACAUACAGUACCAAGAUUAUUUAUGCGGUUUGCUAUCUCCUAUAUGGCGCUCGGAUAAAUUAGUUUUCACAAGCUGUGCUAGAUACAUGGUAUGCAUUUUCUCAACAUGUUUCUCUAUUCUUUCUGCAUUUUGUUUAGAGGACUAUUUUCAGCCAAGGUCAGAAAAGAAAUAGGUCAUACCAUUAUACGGCAUCAUGUCCACUUUCUGCUACUCUGAACAUUCCGACGUUCGGCCUGACGUACUGAAUUCCGUAGGCUUCGGCUGAUCUAGAGAUACCCCUUUUCUUUGCAGCAUUGGAUGGCUCCGUCGAACAUGUCCUCGAUCCUGUACUUAUACUCAAAACCGGCGUCCAACAGUUUCCUUGACGAUAGGCGGGGGAACCUGGGGCCUUUCAAUUCCUUCAAGGACCUACAAAGAUUUGAAAAGCUUUGCUUUCAGUCCAAGAACAGCAAGAAUCCGUUACAUCAUGAAAUGGGAUAUAUCAGGACUUACUCUGGAGAGGGUAUCUGAAACUCCGGGUAUCUUUCCGAGAGAAACUCGGACAUCUCCUCGAUGGUCAUCGUGGCCGAGGUACAAAUGUACCGCCCCUUGGUGUCGGGGUGCUCCAAGAGGAAGAUGUGUGCUCUUGCCAAGUCGUCUACAUGCACGAAAGAUACUUUGAGAAGAAGAGAGUACUCAUUCUCGUUCCCUGUUAAUUUCGAACAAAGUCAAUCUAAGAUUUGAGAUUCUUUGUAUCAUCGAAAUGAAGAUAAACAUAUGGAUGGACAGAUUAUAGUCCUGUCUUCCUUUGUCAUAUACUUGACAUUGAGCAGAGAAACGUUGUCAAAUUAUGGAAUUCUGGUAUCGUUCUGGUGACCAAAACAAUCAAAUUGAUCAUGAAUUUGACUGCAGUACCAAAGGUGUAUCACGAAAAGUUAAUGUAAAAUCAAUAGAUCAUGGAGAUCAAUAUUAUAUGAACCAUAGUUUCUCUGUAAAUUUCACAUGAUCAACAGUUCAGAUAGACUUGACUGACCAUAUAUAUAUUGAUCGUAUGAUAUUUUCUCACGUAUCACAUUACCUAAUACCAAAGCCAGCGAAACUCGGACGGAUCCAGCGAACUUGGGGCAAAUGAAGGGCCCGUGGACAAACGUGGGAACCACCGUCACCACUUCCAGUCCGUGCUGCUCUCCGAACUCAAGAACCGCCUUCUCAGUCAAUGUCUUUGAGAUUGCGUAGGAAGAUCCAAACCUCCCCAUUUCUCGGAUGGACUCAACAUCGCUCCAGGAGUCCUCAUCCAAUAUAUAGGCCCCAGAGUUAUUAUAUUCAAUUGCAGCCGCACUCGAAGUGUACACGACCCGCUUCACUGUCUUGGAGUUCAGGCAGGCCCUCAGGAUGCCCAAUGCUCCAUCGAUGGAUCUUUUGGUGACGACUGGCUCUGGCUCUCUGUCCUCGAAGUCCACCGGGGUGGCAACGUGGAAGACUCCGACACAGCCCUUGAUGGCUGGGCUGAAACUCUCGGGGUCACUGAGUUCAGCGGUUAGGAUUUGGAGCCUUUCUGAUGCUCCUGGUAGAUUUUUCAAGAAGCUCGUGUCCCUUUUGCCAUCUGAGCGGAACAAAUUGGUCAAUCGCCUUGCGAAUAAAAGCUCAAACAUCUAAUGGGAAACUGAUGUGUGAGGUUGACUGGAGAUAACAGUCCAAAAUAUAUUAACCAACAUGACUCAUUCAGGAAACACUCCGAAUUACAGCAUUAAACUUAACAACGAGAACUGCAAGAAAAGCUGAUUCAAGAGAGAAGGAGUGAAUUCAUAUGUAGAACAAGAGCAAGAGAUCAUCAUUAACCGAUUCAGCUGCCCCUAAGUCAAGACAUCCUUUGUUCAUCUUAUGCCUUCUCAUGCUUGAAAGGGCGGCAAAAAAGGGUUGCUUUUCUUAUGGUUCCAUGCCCAAUGACAAUUCCGAUCAGAAUCGAACCUCAAACGCCACGAAUCAUACAAAAAACAUAGAAAUUUCUCCAUCUGUCGACACCCCAACUUUCUGCAUAAACAUUUCACAUGCACAGACCGUUCGAAACACAUGAGCAGUCCCAUACACUUAAUCUAUACGAUCAAACUUCGAUCAAGAGCGCUAACCAUAGUAUUGCCAAUAAAUUUGCAGGCACAGACAGAUCAGAUCAUGUUGGACCGUCGUGUUGACAUAUACAGUACAAAACAUCAAUCUCAGACCAUACACUUGAUCAGAACUCAUGGCAAGAACGAAUCUCCAUGUUCAAGCAGGAAGAAAGAAGAAGGGAGACUUACCCGGGUCGGGUCUGACGGUGGUCCGGACGGAGUAACCAUGUUCAAGGAGCCUCAUGAUGAGCCAUGAAGCUAUGAAGCCAGUACCGCCUGUCACGCACACCGUGCCUCUGUUGCCCUCCAUGGCUUGGAGAAGUAAGACGCUUCAAUUUUCAGGAAGCAUCCAACUUUUUUGAGUGACCUCGAUGAUUUGGCCAGCAGGGCGGGGGCGCCUCUCCACUUAAAAGCGGAUGCAACGCCGCUUACGUCACUUUGAUUUUCGUUUUCAAAAGGGGCCAAAAAAAAAAAAAUGAGUGGUAAGGGAUGCAUCUUCCCCGCUGAAAGUCAUCUUUCAAUUUGAGUAAUAAUCACUAAAUGUACUUUUCAAUCAUCCAUCGUGGACACAGUCCUAGACAAAUGAGUCGAUAGACAAGUGUCUCUCAACAUAAGGUUAUAUCCUAGACCAAUGAGUUUCUUCUGCUUGUCCGAUCCCCCCGGAUUCUUAAUUCAAUUUCGAGCCUUCCUCCUUCGAUCCCUCGGCUCCUUCUGUCGCUCGCCGAAUCCGCACGCUGACGUCGAUGGUUCCCUCCACGUCGUCGCGUAGCUCAUCAUGAUCCUCGCCGGCACGCUUCGUGCCGUUUCGACCCCACCCGCGACGCGGACGCUACCGGGCGCCUGCUCUGCUAUAUAGCGGGUCGCCCCGCCACUGUGAAAGCUGGAGGCCCCAGGGGAAGUGAUGGAUUCCGCAGAUUCUCGCCCCGAUGAGGAAGCUCCGUUGGUCGUCGCCGCCUCCGCCGAGGCCUCGCCGGCGGCGGCGGCGGCUCCGUCGCCUCGGGGGAGCCAUGUCCGGGACGUCCAUAUACUGAGCUGCGGGUUUCUGCUCAUCUUCUCGGCCUACGGGGCUGCUCAGAAUCUCGAGAGCACCGUGAACACUGUGAGUUCCGGUUUCGGCGACGUUUCCGUUGAAUCGCGGGCUCCAAGUUCGCAUUUUUUACUUCCCCGGGAAAGAAUUGAGAGAAAUCGACGAUCGACAAGUGAAAACCUAGUAGCAGAAUCUGGACUUCUGCGUCUGAGCUUGCUUUUAGGAAUUGUUCCUUUUUUUUUUUUUUCUCGUUUCUUACUUCGUUUGACGUUGCGUUUUGGUUUGAUGAGUUUCUUGAUUUUGUUGCAGACGGAUAAUAUGGGCGUGGGAGUCGAAACCCACUCUUGAAACUUACUCGUCCCCACCCCAUCCCCUGAGAAUGUGAGGAUUUGAACCCAUCACCUCUCCCUUCCAUGUUAGAAGGAUGGCUACUGGGCAAAUCCCAGUGAUUUACGAUAAAACUCUAAUUUAUGACUUUGUUAAAGACAAGGUACCCAAUUGCUACUAGACUACCACAUUUGAUGGUGCAACGACUUGACAUAUGUUGGAUUAUAUAUAUAUAUAUAUUUCUUAUUUUAACAUCUUAAAUUCUUCGAGAAAAAAAUAUUUGUUUAACAUGGUAUUAGAGCACAAGUGAUGAGGUCAAAUGCCUAGACUCCCUCCCACAUUUUGUAUGUUUAUCUGCCGUUGAUUAUUCGUAUAAUGUGAUUAUGCACCUAUCUCGUUAUUUUAAAUGUAAGUCAUGAUUCACACACAAUAAAGUGUGUUAAAUAAUAUAGUGUAUCAAUAUAGUUGGCAACCGUUUAAACAACUUAAAAAAAUUUCAAAAGAAAAAAUGAUUUGUGUCACUAUCUAUAGAUUUUUUUUUUAUUUCAUAAAAUUGAAUGAAUUGGUCAUUUCACUCUAGUUUUUCAUUCUAUCACCAAUCAACAGUUGGAAGGCAGUCUUACGACAUGGCUAGUGAUUAUUUCUUUUUUCUAUAGAGUGUCGGGAUCAUAACAAAUACACAAAAAGAUCUUAAUAAUUGUUUGUGAAAAUCAAUUUGCUGAUCGACGAUAGACAAAACAAUUAUCCGACACAUUAAAAUGCUUUAAUGAUAUAGAGUUGUGGGAAUCAAGAUGUCGUGGCACUAUACUAUACCAGUAAUGCCAUUCAUUUUGUGGAAUAUGUUCACCCAAUUAAGCGAUAUAAUUGUUUGCCUCGAAUAAUGAACUUGUUACCAAGACAAUUUGAACUUCUCUCUAUACAUAAAUUUAUAACCCUCAGAAAUUCUCAUUUGAAUCAAAGAAACCAUGAACACACGCUAGCAAAAUCAUUCAUGGUUCGACGAAGAGAUUUGUACGAUUCCAUCAUUACCGCGUCCCGAAAGAGGACGACCCUCGUCGUGCCUUUCGAUGUUAGCGGAGGUUUCCACAAUUCCCUGUCAUGAUCCUGCUCGAAUGCUAGCGGUGGGGUUGGCGCUCGGUCUCAAUCCAACGAAGGGGACCUUCCACGGCGAGAAACCCUACUUUUCAGCUCCGUUGAACUUGCUAUCCGGACCAGUGCCUAACCGGUGUCGAUCGUUUACACGAUCUUUAUCCUCACCCAGCUGUGCUUGGAGGGGGCACGCCUAGUUAGGUUAAUCAGUUCAUGUUGACUCUCUUUCCUGUGAUGAGACAAAGUUACUUUUCCUUUUGUCUUUCUCGUGCUCUCGUCCUUUCCUUUCCCCACUAUGGCCGUUCGAUCUGCACGCUGGUUCGCUUUCUCUGAAGAUGUGGGUGAUUCUACACUGACCCAGCAGCUGCAUUAGGCCCCUGCGGUAGCGCCAUUAGCAGUUGGACGUCCCUAUUAGAAAAAGACUCGCAUAGCAUCCGUUUCCACUUCCAGUAAUUGCACUCCCUUAUCUGCACUAUGUUCCUUGAUCAUCACGCAAUACACUUCCAGCUCCCAGGUGCACCUAUCGCUCCUACGACUGCACCAUCAGUAUUGAGCUUGUGCCAGCCUCCCCCCCGUCUUCCCAACCCAAUUCUUAUGUGCAGACGCAUCACCAAUGUGUGUCCGACAUUAGCACAUUAGCACCGAUCCAGUCCCUCAGGCUAAGAUCAUAACUAUGGUGAAGGGGAGAAGGAGCAUCAAUGUGAGCCCAACAUUCAUUGAGGACAUAGUGCUAACAUUCAAAUCUCUUCUCGCCAGAGUGGAUCUCGUGGCAAUGCUGUACGUGGCAUUAACGAAAUGAAAAAUCGAAUGCGAGGAACAGCAUCCACUUUCCACGCACAUCUCCAGUCUUCUUCCGGCUUUCUCCAAGCAUCCAAACCUUCAGCCAAAUGAUAAACAGCGUUCAAAGUAAAGCGCCAGUCCCUAGAGAAACUCCAACCGAAUUCAGAGUGCCCCUUGCCCCUCUUCCGAUCUGGACUGCCUUAUCAUAUUCGGAAUCUCGUUAGGAAGGGAUAAGAGAGUCUAGAAAAGUCCCAAACUCCCGUAGAAAUCAAACAAGUCCUUCACUUUCAACUCCAAAUCACUGACACGUCGAGGCUCAAUUACUAGAUCCCCUAAUGGACCAGACCCUGGUCAGAUGUCAAGUAGGCUUUCCAACUAGUGAGCCUAGUCCGAGCCUUCUCAAUGAUGAACCCGAAACGACAAGAACUAACACGAUCUGUAUGCAAAGUAAAUCCCGACUAGCAACACCAAGACAACCCAAGCCAUCUGUGGAGAUCGUCAUAAGCAGCAAUAGCAAUAAUACCAGAGAGUUAAAUCACGAUCAUCAUAUCAUAUCUCCAGAAAAGAAGACCUCGGAUUUACUGAAAAUUUAACCUUUUUCCCAGAAUCCUCACAGAAAGACUUGACAGUGUCUACGACCAAUUGACAACCAACCUCAGUAGCCUCUCCAAACGGAAAACAUUCCGCCAGUAAAGAAAAAUUGCGAGAAAGCCAAGGCCCCUCUCAAGGCCUUCAUCGGCUUCCAAUUGCCAUUGCGACAUUCCUCUGCAAAUAAAUAGCCUAGUAUUUCCAUAUAACGGAUAAACAGGUAAAGGGUAAAUAAGAUCACCUUGCUUUAAUCCCUACACGGCGAGAAAGGACAUAGCAUACCACCGUUCAUAAAUGAUAGUGGUAGAAGCAGUAGUGAUGCAAAUCGCACCUGUAUUCGAGAUCGAUUUUGACAGCAAAGGAACCGGUCCUUCGCUUCCGUAUGUUGCAUCAUAGAACAUCAUCAUGCGUUCACCUCCCUCGGGGAUGAAGCUAGCCCAGCAAGGACUAAUGAUAUCAUCAAGAAAAAGGCCUUAAGCGCCCGAUAAAUGAGCAAAGCGUUCCUAAUUUUUCCAGUUCAUCCCUUUUAUGAAGGCAAAACAUAAAUUUUAUAUUUUGGAUCCUCUUUUCUUUUCUUUUUUUCUGUGUAGCAUGGCCCAAAGGUAGCAUGUAACAAAUAAAAUGAACGAAGUUUUCAUGGAUUAAAGUUCAGUGAGAUCAAACAAAAUAAUUUUGCGAGUCAUAUUAGCUACUUAACUCUCUUUUAGCAUGACCUAAGAUUAUAAACAUCUCUAUUAAAUUUGUGCAAUUUGUGUAGUCUGAAAUAAACAAGGAGAAAAAUUCUUCUCGCCCCAUUUUUGUCUAUCCUCUACCCGAUUAUUGCAGCUUACCCAUUGCCCCAUGCUUCCUCCACGACCCCCCGAGACCAUCUCGACAGCCACCGUUUCUGAUAGCUACCUUCGCCUCGAUAAAAUAUUCGAUGGGUCCAUAGCGUUUACAUCAACUGCUGGUCAUGUUGCGAGUAUUUUUUACUCACGUCCGCUUAUAAAUUGACACGUGUUUGUUGAUGUGGAUGGGAAAAGACAAUUAAAAUAUGUUUCUACUUCCACCGACCUGUAACUCGAACGAGCCACCUCGCAUUUGUUUUUUCUUUUUGCCUUUUGAGGUCAUGGAUGAGCAAGGCAUGUGGUCAUGAUUGGCAGCGUCACCGGCCGGCCAUGAUAGCAGCAACAUCAAUAUGGACGAGCAAGGCUAGAGAGAAAUGUAAUGGGAGAAUGGUAAUAGUUCGAACAAUAUCGAAUCAACGCAGUGUAAUAAAAUAAUCUCACAUCUUAUGUAAACCUAAUAGGAAUCGAUAUGGUAGAGUAAAAUAAAUACCAAGCACGCGAACACAGGACGAUUUUUUUACGUGGAAAACCUCCUUGAUGUGAGGAGAUAAAAAACCACGGGAUUGGAGUCCACCUGAAAAUCUUCACUAUCAAUAAAAUUGUUCUUCUCUAGCAAAUACUAGAGGUACAUAGCAGCAAACACCUCAAGAACAUAAUUCUUGGCAAUACACAUGAACUUCACAAGAGAUCAAGGAUAAAUCUGACCAAAAACGUAGGUUUUGAUCAAUCCACAAAAAACCUGAUGUAUGGAGCUUCAAAUGAAAAUCAAACCGUUCAGAUUCAAUUAAAUUGCGCCACAAACAUGCUGACAAAAUUUCAGCUCAAUCGAACCACGAAUCGACCUCCAACGCCAGCUUGAUGUAAAUCAGAUAUUGCCCAAAACCCCAGAUUUUCUGCUUUCUCUUACUCUUUCCUUUUCUGCUACUACCUCUUUAUAUAAAUAGUGAGAAACCCUAUUUCUUCAUAUAACUUAUUAUAUGGACUCAAGUCCUUUUUGGGCUUGCAACUCAUUGGGCUUCCUCCACAUAGGAGUGAACCCAGCUAACAAAUCUCCCCAUCACGACAAUGUGGAGGGAUUCACUAUCCCUACUAUCAAACGGCAAUGUUCAAGCUUCUUUCUUGGUACAGUCUUCGUCAUCAUAUCAAAGCCAUUAUGAUCUGUAUGAAUUUUCUCAAGUUCCAACAACUUUUCAUCUAGAACAUCCCUUAUCCAAUGAUAUCUAACAUCAAUAUAUUUUGAUCUAGAAUGAAAAGAUGAAUUCUUACCAAGAUGAAUUGCGCUUUGAUUAUCACAAAAUAGCACAUACCUCUUUUGCUUGAACCCAAGUUCUUCUAAGAACUUCUUCAUCCAUAACAUCUCUUUACUAGCUUCAGUCGCUGCAAUAAAUUCAGCUUUGGUUGUAGAAAGUGCAACACACUUAUGCAAUCUUAACUUUCAUGACACAGCUCCACCCGCAAAAGAAAUCAAAUAACCAGAAGUAGAUUUACGAGUAUCAAUAUCUCCUACCAAGUCGGAAUCUGUGUAUCCAACUAACUCAAGUUUCCCGGUCCCGAAACUGAGUUUCAAAUUUGAAGUUCCCCGAAGAUACCUCAUAAUCCACUUCAAUGCAUUCCAGUGCUCUCUGCCUGGAUUUGAUAAAUAACGACUAACAACGCCAACUGUGUGCGCCAAGUCUGGGCGUGUACAUACCAUCGCAUACAUUAAGCUUCCUAAAGCAUAUGGAAUACUUUCCAUAUCUUUCUUUUCUUUAUCAGUCGUAGGACUUUGCAUCAUAUUUAACUUAAAGUGGGUAGCAAGAGGAGUACUAACCACUUUAACCUUGUCCAUGUAAAAUUUCUGAAGGAUCUUCUCGAUAUAUUUCUCUUGCGACAAAAAUAACUUCUUAGCAUCUCUGUCUCGGGUAAUUCUAAUGCCAAGAAUCUGCUUCGCCGAGCUCAAGUCUUUCAUGGCAAAAGACUUGCUCAACUGUUUCUUCAAUAACUCAAUUCUUGAAGCAUUAUUGCCAACAAUCAGUAUAUCAUCAACAUAAAGCAAGAGAAUAAUAAAGUCAUCAUCAGAAAUUUUUUUGACAAACACACAGUUAUCCGAGGAAGUCUUCUUAUAGCCUUGUUCUGUCAUAACUGACGCAAAUUUCUUAUACCACUGCCUCGAUGCUUGUUUUAGGCCAUAGAGACUUUUCUUCAAUUUGCACACAUAAUCCUCUUUCCCUUUCACUUUGAAACUCUUAGGUUGUUUCAUGUAUAUCUCUUCCUCCAAGUCACCAUGUAGGAAGGCCGUUUUAACAUCCAUUUGCUCAAUUUCUAAAUCUAGGCUAGCUGCCAAGCCUAGUACCACACGAAUAGAAAAUAUUUUCAAUACCGGAGAAAAUAUAUCAUCAAAAUCAAUACCCUUUCUCUAACCGAAUCCCUUAACAACCAAUCUAGCUUUGAACCGUGGUUGUAAGGUAUGUUCAUCUUGCUUCAACCUAUAUACCCACUUGUUCUUCAAAGCUCUUUUACCUUUAGGUAACUUCACCAAUUCAAAAGUAUGAUUAUCAUAAAGUGACUGCAUCUCAUCUCGCAUAGCAUCGAACCAAUUACUUCUGUACUCAUCUUCUAUUGCUUCCGCAUAGCACUCUAGUUCACCUGCAUCAGUCAAUAAUACAUACUUAUCUUUAGAAUACCUGAUGGAAGGUCGUCGGUCUCUAACAAAUAUCUGGACUAGAACAUCCAGUGGAAUAUCUAAUUGAGUCUCUGGUUCAGGAAUAGUAUUAUCUACUUCAACAUGUUCAGAAACAUGUGCGUUAUUUGGAACAUUGACUUCCUGCUGCUCUUCAUCAACUUGUGUAGGAAUAUUUGUAAGAGGAACUGGAUCUAAAUCAACCAGAUUAUUACUAACCUGUGAUGCUGAAAUCAUCUUUGAUUUCUCAAUAUUUUCUAUUGUUUGAUCUUCUAUAAACACAAUGUCUCUGCUUCUUACAAUUUUCUUUUCAAGUGGAUCAUAAAAUUUGUAGCCAAGCAUAUCCUGUCCAUAACCAAUAAAUAUGCACUGUCGUGUUUUCACAUCAAGUUUAGACCUCUCAUCUUUGCAAAUAUGCACAAAUGCUUUGCACCCAAAUACACGCAAAUAAUCAUAAGAAACUUCUUUGCUUGUCCAAACUCUAUUAGGAACAUCAAACUCUAAAGGAACGCAUGGAGUAAGAUUUAACACAUACACGACGGUCCUUAAAGCCUCACCCCAAAAGGAUCCAGGUAGUUUUGAUUGUGAAAGUAAGCAUCUUACCCUUUCAACCAGUGUUCUGUUCAUUCUCUCAGCUAAGCCAUUUAACUGAGGUGUCUUAGGAGGUAUCGUUUGAUGUUGAAUACCUUGUUGUCCGCAGUAUUCAUCAAAAGGUCCAAUAUACUCUCCCCUGUUAUCAGUUCUGAUGCAUUUCAAUUUCUUUCUAGUCUAUUUUUCAACUGAAGCCUGAAAUUGCUUAAAAGCAUCUAACAUUUGAUUUUUAGUUUUCAAGGUAUAAAUCCAAAUUUUCCUUGAAAAAUCAUCUAUAAAAGUAACAAAAUAAAGAGAGCCACCAAGUGAUUUUGUUUUCAUUGGACCGCAAACAUCAGAAUGCACUAAAUCCAAUAUACCUGACUUUCUUGAAUGAGGGGAGCUUUUAAAUGCAACUCUAUUCUAUUUUCCUGCUAAACAAUGAGCACACUUCUUUAGCGCUGAACUUUUCAAUCCUGAAAGAAGCUUCUUCUUGGCCAAUAUUGAUAAACCAUUCUCACUUAUGUGACUGAGCCUCUUAUGCCAUAACUCAGCUGCAUCUUCGCUAUCUACUGCAUUAAUUUUGUCUGUAGACAACUUUGCUUGCAUAAUGUAUAAUGAAGAAUUCACCUCUAGCCACAACAAGAGAACCUUUGGUAAGUUUCCAUUGACCAUUACUAAAGGUGCUGCAAUACCCCUCAUCAUCCAACUUGCCUGUAGAAAUUAAAUUCAAGCGGAUAUCAGGUAUAUGUUUAACAUUAUUCAAUACUAACCUUGUGUCAUUGUUGGUUUCUAGGCACACAUCACCGAUGCCUACAGCUUGAGCUAGUCCAUUGUUUCCCAUCUUCACAGAUCUGAAGUCACCUGACUUGUAUGAUGUAAAGAAAUCCCUACGAGAUGUAGCAUGAACAGAUGCAUCACUAUCAAUUACCCAAUUGGUCUCAUGAGAAACAAAAUUCACCACAUCACCAUCAAAAAUAGUGAGAAAGUCUUCUUUAAGUGCAACGACACGAUUGUCAUCACUGUCAUCAUCACUUUUCUUCUCUUUACCUUUCUCCUUUUAAUUCUCCCUUUUUAACUGGCGACAAAACCUCUGAAUAUGUCCCUUCUGAUGACAAUAAUGGCACUCAAUAUUAGCAAAUUUAUUAUACUUACCUCUGCUCUUGUCUCGACUUUUAUCUCUAUUUCUCGGACCUCGAGACUCACUUCUCCCCAUUUUCUCAACAACGAAGGCAUCAAAAUGUGAAGACGACGAUCCCUGUGUCUUCCUUCUCAUUUCUUCAUUCAAAAUACUUCUCUUGGCUAAAUCCAUGGUAAUUGUACCAUCUGGGGCAGAAUUAGACAAAGAUGUUCGGAACGUCUCCCAUGAGUCCGACAAAGUACCAAGCAACCAUAGUGCUUGUAUCUCAUCAUCAAACUUGAUUCCCAUCCAACUGAUUUAUAAUUCCUUGAAAAGAAUUUAAAUGAUCAGUCAAACAAGUACCAUCAUGAUAUCUCAAAGCCAUAAUCUGUUUUAUAAAAAAUAACUUAUUAUUCCCAGUCUUUCGAGCAUAUAACUGUUCGAGCUUAUCCCAUAAACUGCGUGCAUGUGUUUCAUCAAUAAUAUGGUUCAAAACAUUAUCAUCUACCCACUGCCUGAUAUAACCACACACUUGACGAUGAAAUAUAGACCAUUCAACAUCAGUUUUAUUCUCUGGUUUCUCCUCAGCAAAUACAGGCAAAUAAAAAUCUUUCACAUAUAAAAGAUCUUCCAUCUUCCCUUUCCAGAUAUGAUAAUUUGAACCAUUCAGUGUAACCAUUCUACUAGUAUUCAUUUCCAUUGUUUAACACAAGGCAGAAAAAUCAAGUAAUAACCUAUUGCUCUAAUACCACUCUGAUGGGAGAACGGUAAUAAUUCGAACAAUAUCGAAUCAACGCAACGGAAUAAAAUAAUCUCCCCUCUUGUGUAAACCUAAUAGGAAUCGAUAUAGUAGAGUAAAAUAAAUACCAAGUACGCGAACACAAGACGAUUUUUUUACGUGGAAAAUCUCCUCGAUAUGAGGAGAUAAAAAAACCACGAGACCGAAGUCCACCUAAAAAUAUUCACUAUCAAUAAAAUUGUUCUUCUCUAGCAAAUACUAGAGGUACAUAGCAGCAAAUACCUCAAGAACAUAAUUCUUGGCAAUACACAUGAAUUUCACAAUAGAUCAAGGAUAAAUCUGACCAAAAACACAGGUUUUGAUCAAUCCACGAAAAACCUGAUGUAUGGAGCUUCAAACAAAAAUCAAACCGUUCAGAUUCGAUUAAAUUGCGCCACGAACAUGCUGACAAAAUUUCAGCUCAAUCAGACCAUGAAUCGACCUCCAACGCUAGCUUGAUGUAAAUCAGAUAUUGCUCAAAACCCCAGAUUUUCUGCUUUCUCUUACUCUUUCCUUUUCUGCUGCUACCUCUUUAUAUAGAUAGUGAAAAACCCUAUUUCCUCAUAUAACUUAUUAUAUGGGCUCAAGUCCUUUUUGGGCUUGCAACUCAUUGGGCUUCCUCCACAUAGGAGUGAACUUAGCUAACAAAAUGUCCAUGCCCGACCAUUUUGUUUGGCCAGAUCCGGUCGGCUCUGUCUCCCGUCGCCAAGGUCGCAGAUCCGAACCACCAACGAGUUCCACCUUCUACCUUAGACGGGAAGACGGAACCAAGGGGCGAGUUCCUCCUUCUCCAUGGCAAUAGAGCUCUUAAUGGGCCUUUGAGAUCACUAGCCCUUCGAGUUGGAUGGCACCAUCCCGUCACACCAUCUCCGCCCCUUAAUGGGCAUCGCUCGUGAUCAGCCUAAGCAACUCGCCCCGCCGUGUUGCUUGUCCAGAUAUGGUUUCGCCCAUGGCCACAAACCUUGCUCAGCAUAGCUCGUGAGGCGGCUCAUCCACAGACUGCAACUCGUCCAUGGCUACGAACCCUUGAUGAUGAACUCGGAAUUCCGACAGCCGUGAUCAGUAAACAAGCGCAAGCCUGGAUGGCCGGAUAGCGCUCUAUGGAUGGAGGAAGAGACAAGUCAACGUCCACAUGUCAACUUAAAAUCAGACCCGUCAGCAGCUAAUGUGGCGCUACGAAAUCACUUCAUAGUUUCUCCACCUUUGUCCAACAUCCGAUAACGAAAUCACUUCAUAGUUUCUCCACUCUCUCUCUCUCUCUCUAUGCAUGCGCAGGCCAGAGUGCACAGAGGCUUGAUUACCAUUGACGGGACUCCUUCAAAUCUUUGCAUCAGGCAAGCUUGGAGGGCGACCCAAAAUUUACAUAGACGCCUCCACGGCAAGAGGGUUCUCAUAGGGUAAUCAGUUUCCUGUAUGUUCCAAUUUCCUAAAAGAAAACCGAACCAGGACCGGACUGAGAAUCGGACCACACCUUCCAAUCCGGUAAAAUCAGUUACUUAAUUUUUCCUAUUACUUAGAACUGGAUCAAGAUAAUAUUUAGUUUACAUUUUAUUAAUUUUUUAAGAAAUAAUAUAAUAAAAAAGUAUAUUUAGUUAGUCAUGUUUGGUUUGAUCCAGUUUCCCCUUGGAACUAGGAACCCAAUUAGGGUAUUUUGCACACCUCUAUCUCACACUAUCGAGAUCUAGAUGAGAGCAAUGUCCACAUGUCUUGUUGGCAAAAUCUAAUGCCUCCAUCCCUUGGAUGAGUGACAAUGCGCAGAGAGAGAGAGAGAGAGAGAGAGAGAGAGUUGCGUGGAGAGGGAGAGAAGGGCAUCGACAGUUGCUCAAAGAAGAGGAGAGGGAGAAAGGCAAAGUCAGCUAAAGUUUGGCGAAACCAGCGGCAAAAUAAUACUGUUAAUCCGUCAAUUUUGACCAAGUUAUUGCUUUUGAUUUGUUUAUUAUGAUUCUUCAAUUAUUUUUCAUGUUCGAUAUAAUUUCUUAAACUUUUGAAUUUUUAAUCUAAUUUCUCAAUUUCCUUAUAAAGUCAAAUCAAUCAUUUAGUGCGAUUAAUAGGUUUUCGUAAGCGGGUUUUUUUUAAUAUCUUUUCAUUUCAAUAGUUUUUCUCCAAAAAAAAUUAAUAAUUUUAUAUUACUUUGUGCCUUUUUGGUUUUUAUGAAUAUCACGAUAACUCAAUCAAAAUCUUGAUAAUUGUAAAGUGUAGCUAAUAAUCUCUAAAAUAGUAAAAUUAGAAUCCCAUUUGAAGCUGUGUUACAUUGGUAUUCCUAUUCUGUUAUUUAUAUAUGCUUUCAUAUUGACAUCUAUAAAUGAUAUUGAUUUAUCUGUAGAUAUAUGUAUUUGUAUUAAUCUAAAUCGUGUUAUUUAUUAAACAAAUAUGGAACAAGAUAUAAGACACUGAAAUUUUUAUUAAUUUGAAAAAUGAGGAACCUUGUUCUUGAAAGUGAUUGACUACGAAGUAGCGAUACCAUCCGGGAACCUUUGUAUCAUGUGGACACUUUGACACAUGUCUAACAUUUGGUCAACAGGUAUCAAAAUCAAUUUUCCCGAUACUCUUUGACACGUGAGAGGGAAUUCUAACAUCUGUGUUCCAAAUUAUAAUACGCAAUUCUAACAAGCAUGUGAUCAAUUUUUAAAUUUUUUAAUAAAUGAGGGGUUAAAAUAUAAAUAUGUAAAAAAAAAUUUAAAAAAAAAAGAGGAAAAAAGAAAAACAUAAUCUUCUCUUUUUUUUCUCUUUUUUUCUAAGUCUCACUUCCCGUGACACGCAAUUCAUCCUUAAUGUUUAUUUUUUCUUUUCUCUUCUGACACGCUCUAACACGCAAGUCCCAAACGUGAAUUGCUAUUUUUUUCCCUCCAAUUUUAUGCAUUAUUAGAAUAUAAUUGAAUUUGUCAAAUUGAAAUAAUGAAUGAUAUUAACAAAAUAUGGAUUAACGUUAUUGGUGUAAAUUCAUUCUACACACUUUUUUUAUUAUAUAUUUAUUUUUGAAUUUAAUUAAAAUAAUCAUAAAAAUAAUAAUUUAUCAUGUAUUUAUAAACAUAUACAUUUAAUAUAUACCGCGUUUCAAUGUGCCGGAAUUCUUUAUUUUUGAAGAAUCAAUGUGUCGGCAUGUCAGGUCGCAUGUGGUGUGUUAGUAUCAAUACUUUCUUGAAGAAUGAAAGUGUGUUUUCAGUAGUACUCCCAGUAGGAAAGGCAGAGUUGCUUGAUUGAGCAUGGAUUAAAAAAGACAGUGGAGAUGUUAUCGAUUUCUUAUAGCACAUGGCAACAUAGAUGGUGCAUUAAGCUUCGGAAACAGAAAUCCUCAACAAUAUUCACGAAGAACAGAAGGCACAUAUAUCAUGAUCUAUGCUAUAAGUGCUUCUGUUCUCAGUACUGCAAUAUCAAAUGCAUAAGAACAGAAACAUACAGUACCAAGAUUAUUUACACGGUUUGCUAUCUCCUAUAUGGCGCUCAGAUAAAUUAGUUUUCACAAGCUGUGCUAGAUACAAGGUACGCAUUUUCUCAACAUGUUUCUCUAUUCAUUCUGCAUUUUGUUUACAGGACUAUUUUCAGCCAAGGUCAGAAAAGAAAUAGGUCAUACCAUUAAACGGCAUCAUGUCCACUUUCUGGUACCCUGAACAUUCCGACGUUCGGCCUGAUGUACUGAAUUCCGUAGGCUUC
rnacentral:lncRNA from 1 species